rnacentral:rRNA from 1 species
AUGAACGCUGGCGGCGUGCCUAAUACAUGCAAGUCGAGCGAACGGACGAGAAGCUUGCUUCUCUGAUGUUAGCGGCGGACGGGUGAGUAACACGUGGAUAACCUACCUAUAAGACUGGGAUAACUUCGGGAAACCGGAGCUAAUACCGGAUAAUAUUUUGAACCGCAUGGUUCAAAAGUGAAAGACGGUCUUGCUGUCACUUAUAGAUGGAUCCGCGCUGCAUUAGCUAGUUGGUAAGGUAACGGCUUACCAAGGCAACGAUGCAUAGCCUACCUGAGAGGGUGAUCGGCCACACUGGAACUGAGACACGGUCCAGACUCCUACGGGAGGCAGCAGUAGGGAAUCUUCCGCAAUGGGCGAAAGCCUGACGGAGCAACGCCGCGUGAGUGAUGAAGGUCUUCGGAUCGUAAAACUCUGUUAUUAGGGAAGAACAUAUGUGUAAGUAACUGUGCACAUCUUGACGGUACCUAAUCAGAAAGCCACGGCUAACUACGUG